AUGAUGGAGUAAUGGCACGUGGUGAGAUAAGAGUGUGAGUGUGUAAAUAAAAAACCAAAAAAAAAGUGGCAU
rnacentral:sRNA from 1 species